UCGCGCCACUGCACUCCAGCCUGGGUGACAGAGCAAGACUCCGUCUCAAAAAAAACCCCAAAAAACCUGUGGCUUCUGCCUUGUCUUCUGUCCCUGGGAUUACUCCCUCUGGGAGAAAGCAGGUGUCAUGUCAAGGGGACACCCAAACAGCUCUGUGGAGAGUUCAGUGCCAUGAGGAACUAAGAUCUCCUCCCACAGCCGUGCAGCCGUGUCGGGAACUUGAGGGUGAAUCCCCAAGCACAGUGAAAUCUUCGGAUGACAGCAGCCCCAGCAGCAUCUUGAUUGCCGCCUCGUGAGUGAUCCUAAAACAGAAACUUUCAGCUAAUUUGCCUCCUCAUUUCUGACCCACACAAACUGAGAUUCAAAAACGUGUUGCUUGUGUUAAGCCCUCAAGUUCUGGGGUAAUUUGUUACACAACAAUAGCAGGAAGAAAAGGAGAAGUAUCACUCUUUUUGCUGCACAAAUGUGAAAACUCACAAUAAAGAGAAGGGAGAAAGAGUGCCUGAAGGAUCAAUGUCGUACCCACACCUCUGACUUCUCACAUUUACAAUUGGUAGCAAGGAGGAACAGCAGCUGCCUUCAUUUGUAGCAGCCCUUCUCUGCAAGAUGAACAGCGGUCUUUUUAUUCUGCCACACUGAUUGAUUUCCUAAAGGUCUUUUGGUGACAGUGUCUCCCGGAAGUACAGAAAAACCCCAAUAAUUGAUAUGGGAUUAUAUAAAUAAAAAUAAGAGAUUUUCACACCUGAAAAACGUUUCUCUGCAUUAUCACGUCUACCCCAAAUCUUUGGUGUGCAGCUCCAGAAUAGGGUAACCACAUACAGAAAGCAGUGAGCUUCUACAUGCCUGGAGAUGGAGAAGGAUGGGCUAUGCCGUGUCCUAUAAAGUUAACUUAAUUACUGCAGGCCAGAUUUUUCUCUUUAAGGAAUUUUUUUUUUUUUUU
rnacentral:lncRNA from 1 species